rnacentral:rRNA from 1 species
GUGGCGACCGGCGCACGGGUGCGUAACGCGUAUAGAACUUACCUUUUACAGAGGGAUAGCCUUUAGAAAUGAAGAUUAAUACCUCAUAGUAUUGAAUUUUGGCAUCAAGAUUUAAUUAAAGAUUUAUCGGUAAAAGAUGGCUAUGCGUCCUAUUAGUUAGUUGGUAAGGUAACGGCUUACCAAGACAUCGAUAGGUAGGGGUCCUGAGAGGGAGAUCCCCCACACUGGUACUGAGACACGGACCAGACUCC